UACGGAGGGUGCGAGCGUUGUCCGGAAUCACUGGGCGUAAAGGGCGCGUAGGCGGCCUGGUAAGUAGGGGGUGAAAUCCUGCGGCUUAACCGCAGGGCUGCCUUCUAAACUGUCAGGCUCGAGCACGGUAGAGGCAGAUGGAAUUCCCGGUGUAGCGGUGGAAUGCGUAGAGAUCCGGAAGAACACCGGUGGCGAAGGCGGUCUGCUGGGGUAAUGCUGACACUGAUGCGCGACAGCGUGGGGAGCAAACAGGG
rnacentral:rRNA from 1 species